GCCUGGGGCAGUGCAAGAGCAGUAUAAAAGUGGGUUCUUCUCCUCGCUCUCUCAUCCACUCCUCUUGCCUCCAUCUCCUUGGGAACAAGGUGCAGCUCCAGCCACAAGGCAUGUCCUGCUACAACCCGUGCCUGUCCUGCCAGCCCUGCGGCCCAACCCCACUGGCCAACAGCUGCAAUGAGCCCUGUGUCCAGCAGUGCCAGGACUCCCAUGUUUACAUCCAGCCCUCCCCUGUGGUGGUGACCCUGCCUGGCCCCAUCCUCAGCUCCUUCCCGCAGAACACCGCCGUGGGAUCCUCCACCUCCGCUGCCGUUGGCAGCAUCCUCAGCUCUCAGGGAGUGCCCAUCAACUCCGGGGGCUUUGGCCUCUCUGGCUUGGGCAGCGGCAUCUGUGGCACAAGGAGGUGUUUCCCCUGCUAAAGCUGCUGGUGAUGACCCUGGGGAAGACCCCCAGGGACACACACGAUGAUACUGGACUGGGGACAGGGCAUUGGGUCGUUGGUUUCAGAGGGGCUGAGCAACUCCAGCACCCCUUGCAAAAGGACGAGCCCAGUCUGGGCUCUCAGAAAGCACGGCCCAUGCCGCCUUUCACCUCUUCCAGUGUCUCCUCUCCUUCUUGUGUCCUUGUUCUCUUGUGCUCCCCUGGGUUGUGAGCCCCACAAAACCAGCCUAGGGAGGACCUGCUGGCCCUGCUCCCUCUGUGUGGCAGGCAGAUGAACAUCUGGCUGGAUCUCCUCCAUAGCCAUCAGGCACAGACUUCUGCUGGCACCUGGUGUUCUCUGUUGUCAGACAGAGCUUGUUUCUUUCUUUUGACUCAUUAAAGUUCUGCUGCAUCCCA